UACGAAGGGGGCUAGCGUUGUUCGGAAUUACUGGGCGUAAAGGGCGCGUAGGCGGUACUUCAAGUCAGGCGUGAAAGCCCCGGGCUCAACCUGGGAAUGGCAGUGGAAACUAGGGGACUGGAAUCUGGCAGAGGGGGGUGGAAUGCCGCGUGUAGCAGUGAAAUGCGUAGAGAUGCGGCGGAACACCGAUGGCGAAGGCAGCCCCCUGGGCUGAGAUUGACGCUCAGGCACGAAAGCGUGGGGAGCAAACAGG
rnacentral:rRNA from 1 species